AGAGACAGCAGUCGCCGCGGUAAAACGUAGGGGGCAAGCGUUGUCCGGAAUUAUUGGGCGUAAAGCGCGCGCAGGCGGUCAUUUAAGUCUGGUGUUUAAUCCCGGGGCUCAACCCCGGAUCGCACUGGAAACUGGGUGACUUGAGUGCAGAAGAGGAGAGUGGAAUUCCACGUGUAGCGGUGAAAUGCGUAGAUAUGUGGAGGAACACCAGUGGCGAAGGCGACUCUCUGGGCUGUAACUGACGCUGAGGCGCGAAAGCGUGGGGAGCAAACAGGAUUAGAUACCCCCGUAGUCCCUGUCUCUUAUACA
rnacentral:rRNA from 1 species